rnacentral:rRNA from 1 species
GAAACAGUGGCUAAGACUGGAUAGGAAGAUAAAAGGCAUCUUUUAUCUUUUAAAAGACCUAGUAAUAGGUAUGCUUUAGGAGGGGCUUGCGCCAUAUUAGUUAGUUGGUAGGGUAAUGGCCUACCAAGACGAUGAUGUGUAGCUGGACUGAGAGGUUGAACAGCCACAUUGGGACUGAGACACGGCCCAAACUCCUACGGGAGGCAGCAGUAGGGAAUUUUCGGCAAUGGAGGAAACUCUGACCGAGCAACGCCGCGUGAAUGACGAAGUACUUCGGUAUGUAAAGUUCUUUUAUCAAGGAAGAAAAGCAAAUGGCGAACCAUUUGUUUGCCGGUACUUGAUGAAUAAGCCCCGGCUAAUUAUGUGCCAGCAGCCGCGGUAAGACAUAAGGGGCAAGUGUUAUCCGGAAUUAUUGGGCGUAAAGGGUGCGUAGGCGGUCUAGUAAGUCAGUGGUGUAAUGGCAACGCUUAACGUUGUCCGGCUAUUGAAACUGCUAAACUUGAGUUAGAUAGAGGCGAGUGGAAUUCCAUGUGUAGCGGUAAAAUGCGUAAAUAUAUGGAGGAACACCAGAGGCGUAGGCGGCUCGCUGGGUCUUAACUGACGCUGAGGCACGAAAGCGUGGGGAGCAAACAGGAUUAGAUACCCUGGUAGUCCACGCCGUAAACGAUGAGUACUAAGUGUCGGGUUAAACCGGUACUGAAGUUAACACAUUAAGUACUCCGCCUGAGUAGUACGUACGCAAGUAUGAAACUUAAAGGAAUUGACGGGACUCCGCACAAGCGGUGGAUCAUGUUGUUUAAUUCGAAGAUACCCGAAAAACCUUACCAGGUCUUGACAUGUUUUUGCAAAAUGAUAGUAAUAUCGUGGAGGUUACCAGAAACACAGGUGGUGCAUGGUUGUCGUCAGCUCGUGUCGUGAGAUGUUAGGUUAAGUCCUAAAACGAGCGAAACCCUUAUCGUUAGUUGCCAGCACGUUAUGGUGGGGACUUUAACGAGACUGCCAAUGAUAAAUUGGAGGAAAGGUGAGGAUCACGUCAAAUCAGCAUGCCCCUUAUGACCUGGGCUACAAACGUGAUACAAUGGCUGUUACAAAGGGUAGCUGAAACGCAAGUUCUUGGCCAAUCCCCAAAAACAGUCCCAGUCCGGAUUGAAGUCUGCAACUCGACUUCAUGAAGUUGGAAUCGCUAGUAAUCGCGAAUCAGCAUGUCGCGGUGAAUACGUUCUCGGGGUUUGUACACACCGCCCGUCA